ensembl:lncRNA
GUGGGUCCUUUAAUUACACAUUUUAAUGUUCAAAAUAUCAUAACACCUACUCAAAGAAGUCCACAGACAUCAUAUCUGAAUAAAUGUGUCUUAUAAGUGACUUACUUCAAUUGAGCUUGACUGUUCAGUCUGUGGUUCUCUUCCAGGGCUGCCACACGGGGUUCUUCAGUCGGUUCUGUGGUUGAUCUAGUUGAUGACUCUGUAGUUGGAGUUUCCAGAGCAGAUAAAAGUUCCCCAUGUUCACUUGUAGGCUGGUUUUCUACCUGUCUGGGUUCGAGUAGAGCCUCUACUACAGGUGCAUGUGCUAUUGAGACUUGUUCAACUGUAUCAUCCUCUUUAUUCUCUGUAGUCAGUGAAGGCUUUGCUGGGUUCUCAUGUAGGGUUUUGACUGUUUUCUCCUGCAGCACUCCACUGGAUUGUGUUUGAUUUGUUGAAGCUCCAUCUACAGGUGUCUUCCUUGUUCCCUCUACAGUCUCUGUGUGUCUCUCUGCAGGUUUCUCCACUAUGUUCUUUACAGGAACAUCUGUAGGUGUCUUCAAUGGUUCCUCUACAGGUUUAACUAUAUUCUCCACUACGCACAUUUUAGGAGUGUCUGCAUGUGUCUUCAAUGGUUCUUUAACAGGUUUCUCCACUACAGCCAAUUUAGGAGCAUCUGCAUGCAUAUUCAUUGGUUCCUCUACAGGUUUAUUUGUAGGUUUCUCCAUUAUGUCCUUUACAGAAACAUCUGCAUGCGUCUUCAAUGGUUCGUCUGCAGGUAUAGCGAUUGGUUUUUCCACUAUGUCCUUUACAGAAGCAUCUGCUGGUGUCUUCAGUGGUUGCUCUGUGGCUUUGGCUAUGGAUGUCUCCACUGCUUUCUCUACAUGUGCUCUCCUGGGGUCCUCAAGGACAGGAUGUGCACUGGAACAAAUUCAGAAUAAUUAUGAAGCAUCUGAUUGUCCUUAAUGAAAUGUAAUUGAAUGCAGUAUAUUGAAUGUAGAAACAAUGAAUACAGGAAUCACACACAAAGAAAAUAAGAAAAGCUCUCACUCAAACUUCCUUAAGGCUGACACGACAUAAGAGCUUUGAGGGGGUGUGGACGAGUCCAGGCUGGAGGAGGUGGUGGUACUCUCUGUACAUGGCAUGACGGAGGAAGAGAUCGAACUGCUUUCAGGUGAUGAAACAUUUUUAGGUUUUCCUUGCUUUAUUGGUUUACUGUUAGAGAGUAAAAAGUGAAAUAAAUUGAG